rnacentral:snRNA from 1 species
GGAUGUGAGGGCGAUCUGGCUGCGACAUCUGUCACCCCAUUGAUCGCCAGGGUUGAUUCGGCUGAUCUGGCUGGCUAGGCGGGUGUCCCCUUCCUCCCUCACCGCUCCAUGUGCGUCCCUCCCGAAGCUGCGCGCUCGGUCGAAGAGGACGACCAUCCCCGAUAGAGGAGGACCGUUCUUCGGUCAAGGGUAUACGAGUAGCUGCGCUCCCCUGCUAGAACCUCCAAAGAUUCCAUGCUGAGUGUGAGCGCAGAGCCUGAUGCAGGGCUGGAUCCCAUGAUGCUGAGAUCAUGACCUGAGCCAAAAUCAAGAAUCAGACACUUGAU